UUGAACUGAAGAGUUUGAUCCUGGCUCAGAUUGAACGCUGGCGGCAUGCUUUACACAUGCAAGUCGGACGGCAGCGGGGGCUUCGGCCUGCCGGCGAGUGGCGAACGGGUGAGUAAAGCGUCGGAACGUACCGAGUAAUGGGGGAUAACUGUCCGAAAGGACAGCUAAUACCGCAUACGCUC
rnacentral:rRNA from 1 species